rnacentral:rRNA from 1 species
UAGGGAAUAUUGGGCAAUGGGCGAAAGCCUGACCCAGCCAUGCCGCGUGCAGGAAGAAGGUCCUCUGGAUUGUAAACUGCUUUUGUCGAGGACGAAAAAGGCGCUGCGGCGCAAAUUGACGGUAUUCGACGAAUAAGCCACGGCUAACUACGUGCCAGCAGCCGCGGUAAUACGUAGGUGGCAAGCGUUGUCCGGAUUUAUUGGGUUUAAAGGGUGCGUAGGUGGCUUGGUAAGUCAGCGGUGAAAGACGGUCGCUUAACGAUUGCAGUGCCGUUGAUACUGCCGAGCUUGAGUAAAGAUGAGGUAGGCGGAACGGAUAGUGUAGCGGUGAAAUGCAUAGAUAUUAUCCAGAACACCGAUUGCGAAGGCAGCUUACUGGACUUUAACUGACACUGAGGCA